UACGUAGGGGGCAAGCGUUGUCCGGAUUUAUUGGGCGUAAAGUGCGUGUAGGCGGCCAGGUAGGUCGGUUGUGAAAACUGGAGGCUCAACCUCCAGACGUCGACCGAAACCAUCUGGCUAGAGUCCGGAAGAGGAGAGUGGAAUUCCUGGUGUAGCGGUGAAAUGCGCAGAUAUCAGGAAGAACACCGAUGGCGAAGGCAGCUCUCUGGGACGGUACUGACGCUGAGACGCGAAAGCGUGGGGAGCGAACAGG
rnacentral:rRNA from 1 species